rnacentral:rRNA from 1 species
AGCGUAGGUGGCCCUUCAAGUCGGAUGUGAAAUCUCCUGGCUUAACUGGGAGGAGUCGUUCGAUACUGUCGGGCUAGAGGACAUCAAGGGAAGGUGGAAUUCCGGGUGUAGUGGUGAAAUGCGUAGAUAUCCGGAGGAACACCAGUGGCGAAGGCGGCCUUCUGGGAUGUUUCUGACACUGAGGCUCGAAAGUGUGGGGAGCGAACAGGAUUAGAUACCCUGGUAGUCCACACUGUAAACUAUGGACACUAGGUAUAGGGAGUUUCGACCCUUUCUGUGCCGAAGCCAACGCUUUAAGUGUCCCGCCUGGGGACUACGGCCGCAAGGUUAAA